rnacentral:rRNA from 1 species
UACAGAGGUCUCAAGCGUUGUUCGGAUUCAUUGGGCGUAAAGAGCUCGUAGGCGGCUGUUCAAGUCGAACGUGAAAACUCGGAGCUCAACUCCGAGCCUGCGUUCGAUACUGGACGGCUAGAGUCUGGUAGGGGGAUCUGGAAUUCCUGGUGUAGCGGUGAAAUGCGCAGAUAUCAGGAAGAACACCCGUGGCGAAAGCGGCUCUCUGGGACGGUACUGACGCUGAGACGCGAAAGCGUGGGGAGCGAACAGG